rnacentral:lncRNA from 1 species
GUUAGAAUUGGAGCCUGAGGAAAGAUCCCAGGUUGAGCACUGUCUGCAGUCAUUUGGUGGCCUUAGGCAAGUGAUGUAAAUGUCCUGCCAUAAUUCCUAAAACUUAAGGAAUUCUUGAUGUAUUCAUGAGACUGAUACAAAAUACUCCUAGGAGUUGCUUACUGUUAAUGCCAAACACAUAAAUACGAGCCACACUCGUAAUUUAGAAUGCAAAAUUCUUGUCUGCUCAGUCUUACCACGCUGUUUACUAAUGUUUUUUAUAAAAUGUUUUGCAUUUUUGCAAACUUCUGUUGGCCAAGUAGCCCAACUGGGCUCUUGGGAGCAUGCUUUUUCUUUGAUAAGAGGAAAAAGACAGAGUUAAAGUAUAUGUCUGUUUUGUAACAACCUGGUGAUUACAAAAGAACUAGGGGAGAUGAGCUCAGGCUAGAUGGAAGAAAGUGAGGGGAUGUCUGUUGAGUGAGCUAACAGCCAUGAAUGCCUGGAUUGCUUGGUGAUGAAAGCCUUUGUUUCUUCUUAAAUAGGGACAGUCUUUUUCAUUCAGUUAUCUCUCUCAUUCAUUCACUCUCUUUCUUUCUUUCUCUCUCCCUUCCCUUCCCCCUUCUCUCUUCUCUUCUCUCUCUCCUUCUCCCUUCUCUCUCUCCCUCUCCUUCUCUCUUUUCUCUCUCUCUCCCUCCCUCUCUCUCCCUCUCCUCCUCUCUGUUCCUCUCUGUCCCUCCCCCUCCAUGUUCCCUCCACCCUUUUCUCAGAUCACCCUGGGACUAUCUUUUUCCCUCUAACGUUGUCACCUGCAUCUGCACAGGUUUCUCUGUUGCCCUGGUCACUGGCUGAAAUGAAAGGGAAUUACCCUGAAGUGUGAACUCUAGCUGAUUAGGAUCUGCUAACUUAGAAGAAAUUCUCUCCCCUGGGGAAUGAAAGCUUAGCUACUGGAACUGGAUUAUGGAAGGGCUUAGAAGACAAGGUCCACUAGAGACGUUAUGGCCAGGGGAAAGCCUCCAGGGAUACUAUCACAUACAAAGAACCCAAAAGUGAAACCCUGUGUUCCCCACAUGUUCAGGAACACUGUUUUGGCCAUCUUUGUUGACAGGUCCACAACUAUAUGUCUGGAAAAACUAGUCUAAGUACUUUGCUUUUAUUUCUUUCCCAGCUAGAUCUAAAUGUCAGGAGCAUGCUAGUCAGUUACAGAAGAGGAAGGAAUGGCUGCCUGAGUACAAAGCCUUUCCUUAUAGGCAGAGCUUUUAAGAAAGCAUUCCUUUUUACUGUCCCAACACACCCAUCUACGUUUUUUGUUUGUUUUCUUUUUAAACAUCUUUCCUCUUUAUUGUUCCUAUACUGUGGCACAAAAGUAAGGAGGAAGUUGUUCACCUUCUGAGGAAUGAGAAUCCUGCUCUUCCUGCUUUGCUAGACUAUGCCAUAAUAGUGCCCCUAUUCUUGGCACCAGCCCUGCAGUUGAUUAGACUUAGGUUCACCUAUGCUUCAAGACAGAAUGACCUGCUGUUCUGUUCUCAAAAUAACUUGGAGAAAGCAAGAUAAUAACAAUCAAGGAUCGGUAAUAACAUGAUUAUCUAUUAGAGAUAUCUAAUAGAUAAGGUAUGAUUACACAUGCCUGGAAUCUCAGACCUGGGGAGGCUGAGGCAGCAGAAUUAAGGGUUCAAGGCCACCUUAACUAUAUAGUUCAAAGCUAACCUGAACUACAUGAGAACCUGUUUCAAAAUU